GUCUUCUGCUAUUAGCAAAAAAAAAAGAACAGUCCAUUUACUUGACAAAAAAAUAGCGGCUCAUAACCUCAGUUGGGGAAAAUCUCCAACUCUCAGAGAGAAGUUACUUUUUUUUAAAUAUUUGAGCGAGUAAAUAAGGAAAGCGUUUCAUUUUUUUUAAUUCGCAGAUUUUUUUCAUGCUUUCUCAGCAAAGAAUUAAAAGAGAAAAUAAAAAAAAAUCUCUCGUGGGUAUUAUUUUGCUAAUUUGAAAUCUGGCCCAACUUCAUAUUUAAUUGAGGAAAAGGUUUAUACCAACUAAGAGACACUAAGAGAGGAAAGAAAUUCUAAAAUCCCGAAAUUUUUCCUUCAGCAAAUAUACAUAAGCAAACACACGCGUCCGCCGUUGGAAGACAAAAACCUUUGAUAACUGACGCGAAAAGGUGACGCUUCGUGCGACCGUGCGUGAAACUGCAGGAAAGGGCGUCGUGUUUGCGGCGCGCGUGUGUAUUGACUGUGCACUCAAGACAGACGGCCUCGGUGCGUUCGACGCUUUAUAUAAAUCAGCAAUUAGUAGGUGCCGAGGUGUUUCAAGAUGCAGACCCUGAGCACGGUUCUCGUAUUGCUCGCGACCAUCCUCCUGCUGGGCAUCAUCCAAGCCGCCCCCGCGUGCAAAACGGCCUCCAGGGCAAAUGUUCGACCCAUAUUGAUUGAAACACCCUCCACCACACAACCACCAACGACCAUCUCUGAGAAGAUCGAGUCGCAGCAGGUGCCAGUGCACGGUGUUUCAAUGACCAGCAUCAUAAUUGCCCCCAACAAAUCUUGCCCACCCGGCUCGGAACGCGACCACAAAGGAAGGUGCAGAAACAAGAUACAGUGAACUGUUCGCUCACGCAAAAGAUUCGAAAACACCUCUCAUGAACUGGACCAGUCUUCGGGGAAAAACAAAAUUUGUGUAUAGCGGGUGAAACAAUAUUUUUGUAUAUUUUGCUUAGUGCAAUAAAAAUUCAAAAACUAAAACUGCAUGAUUU